rnacentral:tRNA from 1 species
GUGCGUAGCUUAGUCUGGUGGAGCGUCAGGCUCAUAACCUGAUGGUCGCCGGUUCAAAUCCGGUCGCGCC